CACAAGCACUCUGUUAGAAAUGUCAGAACAGAUUUACCUUUCUAGCAGAUCUGAAAGGCUGUGAAUGUGAAGAAGUGUCUGGAGGAGCAGCAGAAUAAAGGAUGUGUUUGAGCACCCAGUCAACAGAAGCAGAGCUCUGGGACGUGUGGACAGACAUUCGCUGUAAUGAUGGACAUCUGCUCAUGGACAGGUUGAAAAGCAUAACCACUGCUGGACAUCGCUCUGGGACUCAGGGGGGGAACCGAACCAUCCCCACCCCUUCUUUCACA